GGGUAGAGGUCUUUACUGCCACACAGAAGAGACUCUUCUUUCAGGUUAAGUGUUUAGUCCUUGAGAAAAAUUGACUCCUGUUUUACUACUAUGUCAAGUUCUCAGGUGCAGUUUGAAAGUCUCCUAAUUACAAACUACUUCAGAAAAUUAAUAGAAUGCUCAUUAUCUGCUCCAUUAUGGGAAGACUGGAGGACACCAAACAAUUCUCUGUACAUCUGUGUGUGUCGUCUUCUGCUAAAUUAAGAUCUUGGCUAUACCUUUGAAACUCAGGAGGUGUGCAUGCUGUACUCUGGCAAUAAUUUUCAUGAAGACCAGAAAGACUGUAGCCUUGUCAUUGAUAGCAUUCCUCUGAAAAAAAUAUCAUACUCUCUCUUGCUAUUUAAUCAAGAAACGACAUUUAACUCACUUUCCAGUGAAGGCUUAUCCAUCCUCUCCAGCACAACACAAACUUCAAAACAGCAGGUAAUUUGUUGAAUUAUAUUACAUGCUGUCUCUCUGUUCUAUGAGAAUCCAUUAAGAUCAAUUAGUACUUCUAUUUCCAUAGAGCCUUUCAUAACCAAUUUCUCAAAGUAUAUUGCAAAGAUUAAUACCACACAUUUUCCUGUCACUUAGAAAUCAGCAUUUUGUUAAUAAUCCCUACUAAGUAGUCCAUAACAGUCCAAAAUUUAGAUUCUGAUUUAUCCUGGAACAAAUAAUGUGGCACAUUUAUUGAGGAUACUUAAUAAUGUAAUUUCACAAAGCCUUGGUCAAAUGACUUCUUCCUUACACCAAGACUGAAGAUGCUGGCAGAAGCACGUGGUUAAAACUCCAUCAACCGUCUGAGAGGAGGGUGAAAAUGAACAACUAAUUCAGUUAAUGAUUUCAAUUUAUUUUAUUUCUCAUACAGCAUACCUGAAUACAAGGGGCUUUCUAGAUACUUUUGGAGUGGUUUUGUUUGUUUCUUUGUUUUUAAGGGCAAGCAUGUUUUGGUAGCCCUGGUUUCACCUCAGAUGGAGCUAAAUUUUCUUCCUAGCACCUAUUUUUUUUUUAGAUUUAAUAUAAGAAUGUUGAUAAUACACUAACCGUUUUAGUUGUUGCUAAGAAAUACAGGACUUUUCCAGUUUCCUAUGUUUUGCUAGUGUAUAGGUGCAGAGCCAGAAUAGCUAACCCAAACUGGCCAAUGGAAUAUUCCAUAUCACAAUAUCAUGCUCAGUAUAAGAAUGGGAAUUUGGCUGAGGGGCAGGUAGGCAGUCAUUCCAGGUUCCAUAUUCAGUGCUCCACUCACUUUUAUCUCUGUGUUCCCUGUGACGUCCAUGCUUGCUGCUGCUGCUGCGCUCAUUGAAAUCCCUGCUUGGGAAGAGCUAAUCAUUAAGUGAUGAAUGGCUGUAUUUUAAUAUAUUCUUUUAUAUUUUUGUAGUCGUAGUGGCUGCAGUAUUACUAGUAGUAAUAGUAUUCUUUCUUCUAUAUUGUUCUAUUAAAACUUUCUUUACCUCAGUCUAGGAGUUUUACUUCUCAGUUCUCGUCCCCAUCCCGCUGGGAUUGGGAGAGGGGUGGGAGACAGGCUGCAUACUGUUUAUCUGCCAGCUAAGAGCUAACCUAUGACAGGUACUAUAAUGCUUUCAAGUUUUGUGAGAACUUCACUCAAUUGUCAUGCCAGACAAAUACAAUGAUAACUGAAGACUUUCUUCACUUUCACUCGUUUGAAUUCUUGUACUACUACUCUUGGUAAACAUUCUUUUUCCUAAAAUGGUGUACAUCAGAAUCAAAAGACUACUGAAAGGACUUUUUUUGGGUAUACAGAAUCUCUACAUUUCUUUCGCAACUGAUUCUAUUAUAGUUCUC